GCUUGGUAAUAGGAUAGCUCAGUUGGGAGAGCAGGACUCUUAAUCUCAGGGCCGUGGGUUUUAGCCCCAUGUUGGGCA